rnacentral:tRNA from 1 species
GCCAGUGUGCUAAGUGGUUAGAGCAUCAGCCUCCACACUGAAGAGUCAUGGGUUUGAUUCCCAGUCAAGGGCA